rnacentral:misc_RNA from 1 species
GAAAUGCGAUAAGUAAUGUGAAUUGCAGAAUUCAGUGAAUCAUCGAGUCUUUGAACGCACAUUGCGCCCCUGGUAUUCCGGGGGGCAUGCCUGUCCGAGCGUCAUUGCUGCCCUCAAGCACGGCUUGUGUGUUGGGCCCCGUCCCCUCCCCCGGGGACGGGCCCGAAAGGCAGCGGCGGCACCGCGUCCGAUCCUCGAGCGUAUGGGGCUUUGUCACCCGCUCUGUAGGCCCGGCCGGCGCCAGCCGACACCCAACUUUUAUUUCUAAGGUUGACCUCGGAUCAGGUAGGGAUACCCGCUGAACUUAAGC